GACGAACGCUGGCGGCGUGCUUAACACAUGCAAGUCGAACGGAAAGGCCUGCUUUCCCUUGUGGAUUGCGGGUACUCGAGUGGCGAACGGGUGAGUAACACGUGAGUGAUCUGCCCCCAACUUGGGUAUAAGCCUGGGAAACUGGGUCUAAUUCCCGAUAGGACUGCAGGGUGGUGCCUGUGGUGGAAAGCGAUUUUCUAGUGGUUGGGGAUGAGCUCGCGGCCUAUCAGCUUGUUGGUGGGGUAAUGGCCUACCAAGGCGGCGACGGGUAGCCGGCCUGGGAGGGUGGACGGCCACAUUGGGACUGAGAUACGGCCCAGACUCCUACGGGAGGCAGCAGUGGGGAAUAUUGCACAAUGGGCGGAAGCCUGAUGCAGCGACGCCGCGUGGGGGAUGACGGCCUUCGGAUUGUAAACUCCUUUCGACCGCGAGGAAGCCACCUGGUUGGAAGGGUGGUGACGGUAGUGGUAGAAGAAGCACCGGCUAACUACGUG
rnacentral:rRNA from 1 species